CUGAGUCAGCUGCAGGAGCACAGGUGAAGGUAAUUCAGCUGUGUGACCAGAAGGGGUAGAGCCUGGGUGCACUUCUCCUAGACCCCUUUUAAGGGCUGACUGCCACUGAGAAAGGAUUUCUUCCUGGAGAUGGCUCUCUUUGGAGUUUUCCUGAGAACCCAGGACACAGGUAUCCCAGGAAGUUUCUUGCACAAGACCUCUUGGGCUGCAUAGCCUAUUACUUUUAAAGGACCUAGAUCUGCCUGAAUUCUUCCUCACAGACAAGAUCAACAUUCAAAUCACCUAGUGGAUUUAAUGUUAUGGACCUUGGAAAAUCAGAAUUAUGUCAGCAUUUGUAGUGGGGUCCUGGAGUCAACUAUUCUGAGGCACGUUGCUGCUGAUGGAAUAUGUGAAACUCAAGAUUUCAAAGGGUAAAUCUGCUAUGGAAAGAAGUUACAUAAGAGAUACACUGUUAGUUUCCUUUUCCCUGUGAGAGGCUUCAGAUUUCUU